rnacentral:rRNA from 1 species
UACGAAGGGGGCUAGCGUUGCUCGGAAUCACUGGGCGUAAAGCGCACGUAGGCGGCUUUUUAAGUCAGGGGUGAAAUCCUGGAGCUCAACUCCAGAACUGCCUUUGAUACUGAGAAGCUUGAGUCCGGGAGAGGUGAGUGGAACUGCGAGUGUAGAGGUGAAAUUCGUAGAUAUUCGCAAGAACACCAGUGGCGAAGGCGGCUCACUGGCCCGGUACUGACGCUGAGGUGCGAAAAGCGUGGGGAGCAAACAGG